UAAACUGGUGUUGGUGGUGGUGGAGAGUGCAUUGGUGGUGGUGGAGACUUGUAUUUGUAGACCGGUGUUGGUGGUGGUGGGGAAUGCUCGGGUGGUGGUGGAGAUUUAUAAACUGGAGUUGGUGGUGGUGGAGACUUGUACUUGUAAUGGUGUACUGGUGCGGGAGAAUGCUUAGGUGGUGGUGGAGACUUGUACUUGUAGACGGGUGUUGGAGGUGGUGGAGAUUUAUACUUGUAGACCGGUGUUGGUGGUGGUGGAGACUUGUACUUAUAGUGAUGUUCUGGUGCGGGAGAAUGCUUAGGUGGUGGUGGAGACUUGUACUUAUAGUGAUGUUCUGGUGCAGGAGAAUGCUUAGGUGGUGGUGGAGAUUUGUACUUAUAAACCGGUGUUGGUGGUGGUGGAGACUUGUACUUAUAAUGAUGCACUGGUGCGGGGGAAUGCUUAGGUGGUGGUGGAGAUUUAUACUUGUAAACCGGUGUUGGUGGUGGUGGAGAAUGUUUUGGCGGAGGUGGAGACUCAAAAUGAUAAGGCGUUGGAGGAGAAUGCAUAGGAGGUG
rnacentral:lncRNA from 1 species